rnacentral:lncRNA from 1 species
GGGGAACGUUACUCAUCAUUAAAAGCUUCCAGUAAUGCUAACCGUCCUACAGGACGUGUCAAUGUUCCAGUUUUCGUUGCAAUCUCCGCGGAUCUGAUCAGUCCGUCUUCACUUGCGAUCGGUGCAAUCACUCUUCCGAGCCUCCAAUGCGAACGAGGUACGUCCUUCUCAACGAUCAAGACAAGAUCACCGCGACGUAGAUUUCUGUGUGCAACAUUCCAUUUGCUUCGCUUUAUUAACUGCGGAAUGUAUUCAUUCGUCCAUCGGCGCCAGAAUUGGUUCGCUAAGAACUGGCUAUGACGCCAUCUUCGACGUAACGACAUAUCUCGUUGGUUAAACUCGCCGGGCGACACGUUCGAACUCGCACGACCAUGCAAGAAGUGGUUUGGUGUAAUCACGCUGAGAUCUGUUGGUGAAUCACUGCUUCCACCAUAGACAAGCGGACGAGAGUUCAGCAUCGCUUCUACCUCGGAAAUGACAGUAAGGAAAACUUCAUCGACUGUGAGAACAUUCCCAAGCAUAACUUUCAAUGCCCGUUUGACAGACUUUACUAACGCUUCCCAGGCACCUCCAAACCAUGGGGCAGCAGGCGGGUUAAAGAUCCAACGUUCUCCACGUGCUGUUAACUCAUUCGAGAUUUUCUCUUGAUCCAGAUCUUCCAACGCUUCGCGCAACUCUCUUUCGGCACCUACGAAAUUUGUCCCAUUAUCACUCAUUAUACAAACAGGGACUCCUCUACGAGCUUGAAAUCGUCGCAAGGCCAUUAUACACGAG